rnacentral:rRNA from 1 species
CCUACGGGCGACAGCAGUGAGGAAUAUUGGUCAAUGGACGAGAGUCUGAACCAGCCAAGUAGCGUGAAGGAUGACUGCCCUAUGGGUUGUAAACCUCUUUUGUCGGGGAGCAAAAGACGCCACGCGUGGCGUUCCGAGAGUGCCAGAAGAAAAAGCAUCGGCUAACUACGUGCCAGCAGCCGCGGUAAUACGGAGGAUGCGAGCGUUAUCCGGAUGUAGUGGGUUUAAGGGGUGCGCAGGCGGAAGAUCAAGCCCGCGGUAAAAUGGAGAGGCCAACCCUUUUAGAGCCGUUGAAACUGGUUGUCUUGAGUGAGUUAGAAGUAUGCGGAAUGCGCGGUGUAGCGGUGAAAUGCAUAGAUAUCACGCAGAACUCCAGUUGCGAAGGCAGCAUACCGGCGCUCAACUGACGCUCAUGCACGAAAGUGUGGGUAUCGAACAGGAUUAGAUACCCUAGUAGUC